rnacentral:rRNA from 1 species
UACGUAGGCAGCGAGCGUUGUUCGGAGUUACUGGGCUUAAAGGGCGCGUAGGCGGGCUGUCAAGUCUGGGGUGAAAUGCCGCGGCUCAACCGUGGAACUGCCUCAGAUACUGACGGCCUCGAGGAAGGUAGGGGCAUGCGGAACUGUAGGUGGAGCGGUGAAAUGCGUUGAUAUCUACAGGAACUCCGGUGGCGAAAGCGGCGUGCUGGACCUUUUCUGACGCUGAGGCGCGAAAGCUAGGGGAGCAAACGGG